GACGAACGCUGGCGGCGUGCCUAACACAUGCAAGUCAACUUGACUGAAGGAGCAAUUUGACAGUAGAGUGGCGCAAGGGUGCGUAACGCGUAAGUAACUUGCCCCAAGGUAAGGAAUAACGUCGAGAAAUCGGCGCUAAUACCUCAUAAUGCAGCGGAUCCGCAUGGAUAUGUUGUUAAAGGUUUACCGCCUUGGGAUAGGCUUGCGUCUGAUUAGCUAGUUGGUGUGGUAACGGCACACCAAGGCUACGAUCAGUAACUGGUCUGAGAGGAUGAUCAGUCACACUGGAACUGAGACACGGUCCAGACUCCUACGGGAGGCAGCAGUGAGGAAUAUUGGGCAAUGCUCGAAAGAGUGACCCAGCAACGCCGCGUGGAGGAUGAAGGUAUUCUAUAUCGUAAACUCCUGUGAGAGCAGACGAAAGACAGAUUAUUAAUCUGGAUGACUGUAUGCUCAGAGGAAGCCCCGGCUAAC
rnacentral:rRNA from 1 species